rnacentral:rRNA from 1 species
UACGUAGGGUGCGAGCGUUGUCCGGAUUUAUUGGGCGUAAAGGGCUCGUAGGCGGUUUGUCGCGUCUGCCGUGAAAGUCCGGGGCUCAACUCCGGAUCUGCGGUGGGUACGGGCAGACUAGAGUGAUGUAGGGGAGACUGGAAUUCCUGGUGUAGCGGUGAAAUGCGCAGAUAUCAGGAGGAACACCGAUGGCGAAGGCAGGUCUCUGGGCAUUAACUGACGCUGAGGAGCGAAAGCAUGGGGAGCGAACAGG